CUAUGCAAAAAUGGCUGCUGUUUUUUUUGUUGUUGGGUUUAGACUGGUUUUUUUGUCUUUUUCUCUAAAUAAAAGGAAGAAAUGAUGACUGCAGGUCUAGUUUUACUGCCGCCAAUGCAUGUACAUCCUUAUAAAUUGCUUAGAUGAAGUUUCCUUUACUGAGCAAUUCACCUGGUACCUUUAAAGUGGACUGUAAUGUAGCAGACUCUCUUCUGGAGAAUAGGUCUAAAUUCAAAUUUCUGCAAAAUUCUUCGACUUUUUUCUUUUACUUCUAUCAAUAUGGAUAUCUUUAAACCAGAAAACAGUCAAGUUGGCUUUCACAUCAUUUUUUUGUACAUCAGUGAAGGACCAGAAAUCCAGACAAAAUGCAGCUACAGACGCCGCAUAGUCUCUCCUAUAUGUCAGGAAGGUUUGAGUCUCUUCACUUUAAUGUCAUCCUCUUAAUUAAAUGAAUGUGACAUGUGAUGUUAGUCAGGUGAUGUUGUGUAGGUAAGGAUCACUAGUGGGUACCUGGUGGAGUGAGGCGAGGUGUGGCCAGAAAGGAAGUUGUGAUGAUGAAAUUAAAGCUAUAUUAUGCUACCUCCUGGAGGUUCCCUGUCAUGGACUGGUGAUAUGUAGUGGGUCAAUAUUACAGUGGGACCCACGUCUACCAGGAGACUAUUAGACCACACCCAGGAGGUCUGUGGGAUUCAAUAGUCACCAAAUCAUCAGCAACUGGUGGCAAGAGGAAAUGAUAAUAUAUGUGUACUUCAGUACUAGUUCUCAAGAUACACCCACUCACUGGCAUCAGAGGAUAUUCUUCCUCAAUGAACCCGUACAAGUUCAAACAGGUUUUUCUGCCUGUACUUCUCACUCCUGUCGUCAUUGUGGGGCUUCUGUAUGUAGUCUGGACCUUGUGGUCUUUUGUGUAAGAAGGGAGGUAUGCAUUUCAAUUAGUAUUCUGGGAACGAGAAUGCCUUUCUGUCACUCUCCAUUAGGGGAAUGCUCUUUGAUGAUGGACAUUUUACGUUUU